GCGCCGGUGGUGUAAGGCGUAACAUCGCUGCCCGGAAAGCAGAAGGUGUGUGUGUUCGAGUCCCGCCCGGCGCA
rnacentral:tRNA from 1 species